GAAAAAUAAAAUAAUUAAUAUAAUAAUUAAAAUAUAAUGAUAAUAAAAUAAUUCUUAUUAAUGUAAAAAUAUAUAAUAAUGGAAAUAAUAAGCUGUAAAAUUAAUAGACAAUCUUUUAUGUAAAUUGCAUCUUGAUUUUGGAAAAAAUUAAAAAAAAUGUGUUGAAUGAAAAAGUGGGUAAGUGUUUGGGCGAGUGGAUGGGAAAAAUGCUACUAGCAUUUCUCAAAAAAUAAUAAUAGUAAUUGUUAAAAAAGAUUUAUUUUUUAAAAAAAAAAAAAAAAAAAGGGAAAAGGGUAUGGACGUUAAAGACAGAAAAUUCUAGAAGCUAAGUCUUUUGGCCCUAAAACUAUAUUGUUUCUUAAUCUUAGCUGAGGCCCUCUUUUCUGUCUCUGAUAAUUCAUUGCUCAAAGUCUGAAAAAUCUUGAUUUUCUUUGUCCUUUGAAUCCUCAAAGCAAAAGGGUCGGUCUACAUAGUCUUGAGGUCUGUCUCAGCAAUUAUGGCUUCCAAAUGCAUCUUGAAGGCACUUAAAGCCGAUAUUCUUCCCUCCACUAUCGAUAUCGAUGGUUGUCGACACCCGACAAUAUCGUCGACAUUUCGCUAAAGUCGCCAACUUUUUCCUCACCGCACAUGAUAUCAUCUCAAGCAUAUGACACAAUCUCAAUCAUUAUGCAAAAGUACACUUUUUUUAUUUUUUUGAGUAGAAAUUAGAUGAAAGUACACUGAAUCACUGUGAUUAGUAACAUUCUAUAGUAAUUGAGCCAUUUGGGUCUGUUUGUUUGAGA